UACGUAGGGGGCAAGCGUUGUCCGGAAUCAUUGGGCGUAAAGAGCGUGUAGGCGGCCAGAAAAGUCCGCUGUGAAAACUCGAGGCUCAACUUCGAGCUGUCGGUGGAAACUUUCUGGCUAGAGUCCGGAAGAGGAGAUUGGAAUUCCUGGUGUAGCGGUGGAAUGCGCAGAUAUCAGGAGGAACACCGAUGGCGAAGGCAGAUCUCUGGGCCGUAACUGACGCUGAGGAGCGAAAGCGUGGGGAGCGAACAGG
rnacentral:rRNA from 1 species